UACAGAGGGGGCAAGCGUUAUUCGGAAUUAUGGGGCGUAAAGGGCGCGUAGGCGGCCUGGCAAGUGGAAGGUGAAAUCCCUCGGCUUAACCGAGGAACUGCCUCCCAAACUGCUUGGCUUGAGACCAGGAGAGGUGAGUGGAAUUCCCAGUGUAGCGGUGAAAUGCGUAGAUAUUGGGAGGAACACCAGUGGCGAAGGCGGCUCACUGGACUGGUACUGACGCUGAGGCGCGAAAGCGUGGGGAGCAAACGGG
rnacentral:rRNA from 1 species